GUGUACAUCAUUGGGAAUGGAGGGAAAUAAAUGACUGGAUGGUCGCUGCUUUUUAAGUUUCAAAUUGACAUUCCAGACAAGCGGUGCCUGAGCCCGUGCCUGUCUUCAGAUCUUCACAGCACAGUUCCUGGGAAGGUGGAGCCACCAGCCUCUCCCUGACAAGCAAAGUGGAUCAGCAAAGGCUGCAGUCACCAGCAUCUUUUCCAACCUUAAUGAACUGUAUCCUCAAAAGAACACUAUCAGACUGGCUCUGCCGACUUCCAGUUCUGGAACAAGAUGGUUAAACUCAUUUUUCCCUGCUCUGCUCCUCUAAAUACAACUAAGUACCUUGGAAACUAUUCAGCAGACAAUGAUAAAGGGCUCUGAAAGCUAGAAGAAAAGGUGUACUUGCAAGAAACCUCAGGACUUGAGUAACAGCAACAUGGCAGGCCAGAAAGCAGACCCAGGGAGGAUAGCACAUGUCUUCGGCUACACUGGUGAAGGCAUCGUGCCUGCUCCACAGCACAUUUUUAUUCAAGAACAAUCCAUUUCACAGAUGAAGAAACAGACUCAGUGAGCACGUGAUCACUUCUCACAACUAAUGGAGCCAAGAUUCUGUCCUUAUGGCUCCAGAGACCUCUUUUUUUUCCCACUGUACCACAACACUCACCAGGACUGGAGUGCCACCUAUGACCUCAUUGCAUAAUGGAUGGCUUGUCCUCAAAUGGGCCCGGUCUUGGACGAGCCUGAGGAUGUCUACAAGUGGAAGAAAAGAAGCCACUGGAGCAGAAGGUGGGGAGGAUAAAAUUUGGAGCAAGAUUCUCAAGGAAGCAACAAGAUCCUAAGGAAAGGAGAAAGAGACUACCUACUGCAUUUCUGUCACUCGCUGAAAAGGACACUCUGUCAGAAAAUCUUCUAGCAAACUUCAAAGGGCAAAAUCACCCCUUGUUACUGAUAAAGCCCAGAGAGCUUCAGCAGCUAACAUUCCCUGGACAGGGCACAGCAAGGAUUUGAACCUAGCUCACCAAGCUCCUGUAUCUACUGGAAAAUGGAAGUCCAGCCUUACCAACUUGUGAACCUUGUCUGAAGGGAGCCAGGGCCUGCCAAUGGAACCACCUCCAGGAGCUGCAACUGCUGUUGUCAUUAAUACCAUUGUGUCUAUUUUUUGAGAGAGAUAAACUUUUCAUGGUGUUACAUUUUGGAAAAAAAAAAAAAAGACUAGGUGAACAGUCAGGUAGGAAAGCAGCAUAACAGUCCCUUAAAUUCUGAUCAUGUAGGACAUUCUUCUUUGCCCUGGGCCUGGGAAAAUGCAGCAUGUUCCAGAGCAAAAGUCCUAAUGAGGGGAACUAAACCAGUGGGACCCAAACCAAUGUCCUGGCUCACUGAGGACCCGUUAGAACCAAAUCUCUGGGUGUGGACAGGCUCCCAUACUUUUCAAAAAUUCCCCUGAUGACUAAUGAACAACCAGAGGUAAGAACCAGUGGCCCAGAGGAAUAACCAGCCCAGCUGUUGUACGAGCUCGCUAAGCUGGCUCAGGUCAAUGUUGAAUUCUCUGCUAGGCAGCUCCUCAUAAGAACUGGCAGAGAUGGUUCUUACACAACAACAGGUGACAACUCCAGACUCUGCCGGAAGUUCCAGGAUCUGGGUUCCCGGACAAUGCAUGACACUCAGUCCAGCAUUGCAGGUGGAAGAGCGACGGUGAAAAGACCAAAGUCAAUUAAAAUGUGUUAACCAAAACAGGAAACAUGAGUGAGGUGAUUGAGAGUGUGUUUAACUUAGAUGUGUGAUUUUAUCAAUACUUUCAUUGUUCAAAAACUCUUAUUUUUUAAAGAUAUUUUCAAAACAAA
rnacentral:lncRNA from 1 species